AACGCGAAGAACCUUACCUGGCCUUGACAUGCAGAGAACUUUCCAGAGAUGGAUUGGUGCCUUCGGGAACUCUGACACAGGUGCUGCAUGGCUGUCGUCAGCUCGUGUCGUGAGGUGUUGGGUUAAGUCCCGUAACGAGCGCAACCCUUGUCCUUAGUUACCAGCACCUCGGGUGGGCACUCUAAGGAGACUGCCGGUGACAAACCGGAGGAAGGUGGGGAUGACGUCAAGUCAUCAUGGCCCUUACGGCCAGGGCUACACACGUGCUACAAUGGUCGGUACAAAGGGUUGCCAAGCCGCGAGGUGGAGCUAAUCCCAUAAAACCGAUCGUAGUCCGGAUCGCAGUCUGCAACUCGACUGCGUGAAGUCGGAAUCGCUAGUAAUCGUGAAUCAGAAUGUCACGGUGAAUACGUUCCCGGGUCUUGUACACACCG
rnacentral:rRNA from 1 species